rnacentral:lncRNA from 1 species
GGGGCACAGGAUGAUGUAUGGACACCAGAAGGAGUUCAAGUUUCAGAACAAUGAUUGGUGGCGCAGGGUGACAGGCAGACGUGCUGAGUGUUGGUGUGCAGCUCCCUGCAAAGAGCUCCUUGGGUCAUUUCUGUGCACCUCCCUGUACCUACAGCAGAAAGAAAAAUCAGAAACAAUGAUUUUGAAGGGAAUGAAUGGGUAAAGAACGGCAGUGCUGUGUCCCAGUGAAGCUGCAGAGCUCUGAGCCAUUCCACUCUGUGUUUAUGCACUGCUCCUUGGAGAAUGGGAAAGCUGAAGAGGAGUGGAGGAGUUUAGGAAGUUCACAAGCAGAGUGCUUGUGUUGUUUCUGGCACGGAGUUACCGGCCGUGGGCGUCCCUUCGCAGUGCCAUUCACCUCCAGCAGCCACAGCCAACCCCACUGCUCCCAUUAAGGGUGGCUCAGUCAGUUCCCGGCACAGCAAAGCUUGGGCUGUGGGUCAGGGCCACGAGCAAGGUGCAGCCGGAGCCAGAACGAAGCUGAUCGGUGUGGGUUGGAGUGCUGGAGGCAGCUGCUGCUGAGGUGAGGCACAGUGCUCUGCCUUCUGCUCAGGGCCGUGUGGGAUCCCCGCAGAGAGCCGCUGUCCUCGGCUUUGUGCACAUCUGUGAGCACAGUCACUGAUGUCCCCUCCCUGAACAGAGCACACUGCUGACGUCUCGUUGUGGCUGUGCUAAUGCCAUGCAUUAGUCCUGAAAGAGAAAGGGGAAAGAGAGGGAUGGGUUUGUGUCUUCUCCUGACUAUGCAAAACCGAAUGAAACAGGAGACAGAAGCUACGAAUCCACCCCGUCCCAGUGCAGCCCAAAGAUAAAAGAGUUAAAAUGCUCUGUAAUUAGAGCCAGCCUCAAAGAAGACAUUUUAUGACGGCAGUAGUCAGAUGCUCAGCUCUUACACCCCGUGGCACAGAAUGAAAGAAUGCAAUUUUUCAGCAGUGCUGGGGUUCUCAUUUGGCUCAGCAGCAGUUCAGAGGUAUUUCUCCUUUUGUAAGAAAUAUGAACCGAUUGUGAGGUUGGGACUGCUCGGGUGGCACAGAAAUUUUAUAUAUAUUUAAAUGAUGGUCUCGUCUGGUUCCUACAUCUUUCAACAUAAGCAUUGCCUUUCACAAAGAACCAAAGCAAAAUGAAAGCGUCAGUUAUAUGCAGCAUAGGCUCAAGAAUUUAAUUAGUACCUAAGUGUUAUUCUGAACAGUCACAGCAGAGUUUGUUAGGUUGCUAAAUGGCCCCCUGGGCCCUGAUGGGCUUAGCUGGGAGGACAGGAGCUCCUAUGAGAUGGCAGAGGUGAGUGUACCCUGUGCAGAUCAGCACUCGGCUUGGAGUGUCCUCCUGAUUCAACUGUUGCUUUCGUGGAAACGGAGGCUCUAGGUUAUGUGGAAAGUAGAAGAGUCACAGGGCUUAGACAGCUAAAGGGCCAGAUUUCUAAUCUGGGAUCACAGCAUUCAGCCUCUGCUAUAACCACCUAUUCAAUGCUUUUUCAGCAUUCAAACUAAAAACUCAGUGACCGGCGAUCCCCACACGCUUCCUGAAAUCAAGAGCUGAUCUCCUUAAUGAGCAACGCAUGGCUGUCACACCUCGUGCAUGUCGCUGCUCAGAGCCCUGAAGCACAACCUCCUGAAGCCCUGGGCGGUCACCCCACGUCUCUGCGCCUCUUUGAGGAGCACAGACUUCAAGAUCAGUAUCUCCCUUCCCCAUCUGCCACCUUUCCAUUUGUCUGUGUUUUUAGCAUCAACUGAAAUUCCCUUUGUAUAGUUCCAGUCCGUGUGAUUGAGGAGUUGCUGUACGAUCAGGUAAGCUUGCAGACACAGCUGGUUUUAUAACGUUCCCCAUAGUGCCCACAAAAGCAGAGCCCAGCAGCAGCCCCCACGGGGAGUUUGGGCCAUACAACCCGAGCUGUGUGGGUUUGUCCUACUAAAAGAUGUUGUAAUACGUAUGGAUAACUUGAAGCAAAGAAUACGUUCCAUAGCAACUGCAGUGUUUGUAGUAGCAAUAGCACAUGGGAAUGCCUCAGCACUGCAUUUCAGUGAUUGUAUGGACAUGCUGCAAGGAAAACUGUAGUAAUGAAGCACUGCCUGGAAAAAAAUAGAUGCAAAGCCAAAUUUUUACAACUAGUGUGAGCAACUUAUAAAUGAAACCCACUGAGAAUCAAAGGGAAAGAGCUUGUCAAGCACGGCUAGCCCAAGCAGCAUGGGUUAAGCCACGUCUUGUCAGGUUGUAUGGCGUAUGCCCUUUCUGUAUGCCCAGAAGGAGAAGCAAGGAGAUAUCUUUGUGCUGUAUCCCAGGUCUUGUUCCCUGAGCUCCAGCACUCCUACCCGCUGCACAGAGCAGCGAGACCAACGCAAACCCCAGAGUAAGAGAUCUGCAAAGGGUGGAGUUUGCGGUAGAAUAAUCUGGAAAACAUCUCUAAUUUUUAUAGAUAUAAAGCUCUGUGGAUUUUUAGUUUUGUGUAACCCGUAGAAACUAAUACAAAUGUAAAGAACGUUUUAAUCGACAUCUUUUAGCAUAAGUAAUACUCGAGAAAUAUAACAAAAUACGAAGUAUUGAGUUACUUCCCAGAGUCCCAUUGUUUUUAUUCCGCGUACAAAGAAAUGUAUGAGCCCUGAAGCAGUUUGAGAGGUAAAGGUUAAAUAAUGGGUAUGUAUUCAGCAUUUUAAAACUAAGAAACUGUGGAGCUCUGCAGUCCCUUGUACACAAAGAGCUUGUCAGCACGAGUUGGUGAGAGUGGUGGGAGAUCAGUGCUGGCAGCCCAGAGGAGACGAGCAGGAAGGGUUCGAGCUGAAAAGCAUAAAGAAGAAGGGAGUUAAUCGUGGUCUGUAAAACCAACGUUACUUCUAUUUGUUCCUUUGGCAUCGCAAUACCACUCCAAAACAGAGGCCAACUGUUAACAGAGGCAAAGCCAACUUCAUCCUUUGCAGGCUGACGAAUGGUCAUGUAAGUUACCAAAUAACCCAAGACCUCAGGAUUAAACUUCUCCAAUUGUUUUCACAUGAUGCAACUUUAAAUCUCUCUUUUGAACAGUAUUAAAUUUCCUUUCAUUCCCAUAAACUUCAGAAAAAGUUGACUGCUCUCACAUUUCAGACUGUGACCCAGCUAACUUGCACUUUUCCCCUCUGCUAGUCUGGAGAGCAGAAUAAUGAAAUUCAGACAACGGUGACCAAAUGUUGCUCCGUGGAACUUUCCUUUUACAAAACAGAUGAAUGCUCCUGGGCUCCAAAACACUGCAGGGAACAAAACUUUCAAACCUUAUGGAAAUAAAAUAGUAAGCCUAUGCAGUGACUUCAUCUCCUUUAUCAGAUCAGAGACGUUUUCUCUGGAAUUGAAAUGGAUUAGAAAAAACCCUCUAAGUAGAGGAAAAGAAUUAAAAUAUCCCACUGAAGCCAUUACUGAAAUACUGCUUUAUUUCAAAAAACACACCCACACGGGUGAACACUGAAUUUCACAGAGAAGAAAAACUGCCACAUCAUCAUCGUUCACAGACCUCGUGUUGCAGAUAGAAGUGUGCUAUGGUCAGGCAGGAAAAUAAAUAUCGCAGUGUUUGUGAUCAAAGGGAGAGAUAAGGCCGUGUGCUGCGUGUUCUGAUCCUGACGGAGGGCUGUAGAAAAUGACCACAGAUAAGCGGCUGAUGUGAGGGCUGGGAUUUUUGCCUCUGGGAUCCCCUGGAAACCCGAACAAGUCGGACCAUCCAGCACCUCGCCAGAUGAGGCCCUGUAUUUAUGUAAUGAGAAAUACCCACUGCGCUGCAGAUUUGUUGCUAGUGUGAGUGAGAUUGCGUUCACUUAAGCCCAUUGCAAAUGUAGCCACUAGAGUCAAAAUAAAAGGAGCCAAAAUAUAUAAAUCCAGCAGACAGAGUUUAUAGGGGAACUAAACCAAACAUUCAACAUGGAGAUUUAGUGCAGCCGAACUGGUGUAACUAAACAGGGUACCUUACAUCAUUCUGUGUCCUACGGGCACGGUCCCCGUUUUAGUGGCGUGCUGCGCUCACGCUGAUAUCAAUAAAAGUCUAACAUGCAAAAUGAGUGGAAUAUACGAGAUGUCAGAUGGUGCGGGACGAGCCCAUAAAGCCCAUACCUAAAAUCCACUGUCACGCUUUUGGCAACCCCCAGCCAACUUCCAUGCAAAUUCCACCCCUGGAUCCUUAACUGAUUUUGCCUUAAUUGAAAGCCUUAAAGGUGAAUUGAAAUGUUGUUGGAAUAAAAACCUGUUUAAGAUGCCAAAUCCCUAACAAAAUCCCAGUGCAGACUUACAAGUAAAUAAAUUGUAAAGGCAAACGUGCAGGCCUUCUUAUUAACCUGUCAAACCACGAAUUCUGGAAUCUGUUCUUCUCUUGCAAAAUUUGUGACAUUCUUCUCCCCCUAAUGACUGGAGUAUUUUACUGCUUUGCGGGCCCGGCAACAAUGAUGACAUUGUUUAGGAAGGUGGUGAAAUCUCCCUUGCUCAUGGUGAUGACUGGGGGACCGCUUCCCCAUUAAUUUAUGUGGAGAAUUGGGAGGUACAGACCAGAUGCCAUGGCCCUUUCUUGGCAGUGCUGCUCACUACACGUUGGGCUGGGGCUGCCCAUGAGGUUGUCUGAUACGGUGUGAAGUCAUGGAUGGAAGCAGCUGAGUGUGAGGAUAGUUCAGCUUUCCAAACUAUUGCUUUAAUGACCUCCUCCCUGAAUUUGAUUUUUGAGGACUAGGUUAAGUGAUUCCUCUUGCAAAAAGCAAGCAAACUCUGUAAGAGAAAUUGUGGGCCCUUUGACUGUAAGGGCCAUCACCUGACAUAUUUUGCACAAGUAUAACCUGCUCGUGCCCAAACUAAACUCAAUCCAUGACCUUAUUUUGGAGAUUCACUUCUCGGGGUAAUGAGGAAAUCAGAGUUGAAACAAUUGCAACGCUUCCCUACCGAAAGAUCCCUACAAAGCUCAGCAUCUGCAGUGUAAAUCACCAGCUGUGGGACUUGGAAGCAUCACUGCUGCAUGCUGCUCCUGUUGCCUGUCCUGUUCUGCACCUCGUCUGGUUGUUGAAUUAAUGCUUUGGAAGCACAUUGGAUACCGAAUCUGAUGAAACGCCGGGUGUCAGCGUGCAGUUAUGAACAUGAAACUACUACAACAACAAAAAUAAUGCAUUAUAAGCAUUAUAAUCCCUAUGUUUGCAUGUGUUAUUAAGUAGUCUCUGGUGUUUGCGUCCCAUUCUAUCACCCUUGUCCUUCCGGAAGGGUAACAUUACAUGUUACGCAGCUAUGUAAUUCAAGAAUAUAAAGAACAGAGUCCUGCUAUAUAUAUAAAAUUCCAAUGUAGUACACAUACGAAAGGCAAAGAAUUGUGGUCUGUUUCAGGCUUUUGCCUUUAUCUUUUCCAUUGCCUCCUGCCAAUUUUCAAAGUACUCCCAGAUCACAGACCGAACUAGAUUAUCCGAACAAGAACUCGGCCUCCCGGUCCUCCCUGCUACCACUCCCCAGGGAUACAGCCUGCCCUCUGACCCCCGGCAAUGCUCCCUCCCACUGCUACCUAUCACUGCCCGAUCCUUUGCUUUCCUCUUCAGGCAAAGGCAUUUCAGCCUGAGAAGGAAGCAGAGCUGUGCACACUGGCACCAGCACACCUACUCCUUGGCUUGCUUGGCCCCAAAAUGAAGGGAGACCCUGGAGGGUCUGUGCAUCCCUCCUCCUACAGACACAGUGAAAUAUGUCAUCAUUUGUACUGCACUCACUUUGGAAAACUCAGCUAGGAAAUGAAGGAUGUGCUCAGUGAGACAAUGUCGGCACUGCUGUCAGACAGAAUUCCCACCCUAAAGAAUUGUCAGCGGAAGCAAAGAUAUUUGUUAGUCUCCAGUACUCAAGAAGUACCACCAAUGGCUGUUUUCUACACCAUGGCAGCAUUAAAAGAUCAGUGGUGAACUCAGAUUUAAAUGGGGACUUCCCAUGGGUGCAUGGAUUUUCGGAAUCUGCAGGGCCUGGCCUUGUCUUCAGCUUCCACUCUGGAAUCCUCACUGGGCUCUGAUUCUAGUUACAUCUCAAGUGGGCAGAGGAUGAUUGCUAUGGCCUCGGUGGUUGAAAUGAGAAAGAUCUGGAAUAGAUUAAUGGGAGUGUGAGAGAUGGAAAGGAAAACAAGGACUUUCUCAUAAUGUGACACAAUACUUAAGAACACACACUGUCGAGUCUCUCUUAGCUUGCUGUACUUCUGACACUAUUCUCUUACAAUAUUUUGCUUAUCAUCCUCUUGUUAAGUUUAUUGUACUUACAAAUCAUUCCCAGACAGCCAGCUUCUUAGAUAUCUUUUCAUUAAAAAAAAAAAAAAGAAAAGAAUAAAAGAAUAAAAAGGUUUUGUGUGUAAUACAUUUCCCCUGCAGGAACUGAUUCCUCAGCACUGCUGACUACAAGCCUCUCCUUGUUUUAAAACACACAGCCAUGCAUCUGGCAGCGGGCUCUUCUCCCCACAGCCACCUCCUGAACCUUCAUCUGUGCAUCGCAUCUCCGCAGCAUCCUGCAAACCACGUGGGAGAAACUGCCUCUAAUUUGUCCACCCACCUCACAGCGUGUCACUACCCCGACUACUUCUUGCCAUCGGAUCCUUACUGAUACUCUGCAUUGUUCGUUUUGGGGUGUUGAGGGCCGUGUCCGCUCUGGUUCCUUUGUUUAAUGUAUUUUUAGUUCUUCCACUGCGGUAUGACAGAGUGCAGCGUGUUCAAGGAAAAGUGGGGAGAAUAUUUGUAUUGAUUUCAAAAUGCUGCAGAUUAAGAGCAGAUGUAGUAUGUAUUCCCCAAACGUAUGUUUUAACUUUCA